AACGAACGCUGGCGGCAGGCUUAACACAUGCAAGUCGAACGAGCUGGGGCCUUCGGGUCCCGAUGCUAGUGGCGCACGGGUGAGUAACACGUGGGAAUAUGCCCUUUAGUACGGAAUAACCAAGGGAAACUUUGGCUAAUACCGUAUACGCCCUUCGGGGGAAAGAUUUAUCGCUAAAGGAUUAGCCCGCGUCUGAUUAGCUAGUCGGUGGGGUAAAGGCCUACCAAGCCGACGAUCCUUAGCUGGUCUGAGAGGAUGAUCAGCCACACUGGGACUGAGACACGGCCCAGACUCCUACGGGAGGCAGCAGUGGGGAAUAUUGGACAAUGGGCGCAAGCCUGAUCCAGCAAUGCCGCGUGAGUGAUGAAGGCCUUCGGGUCGUAAAGCUCUUUUACCAGGGAUGAUAAUGACAGUACCUGGAGAAUAAGCUCCGGCUAACUCCGUGCCAGCCGCCGCGGUAACAC
rnacentral:rRNA from 1 species